rnacentral:rRNA from 1 species
UAAUACGGAGGGGGCAAGCGUUGCUCGGAAUUACUGGGCGUAAAGGGCACGUAGGCGGACCGACCAGUCAGGCGUGAAAGCCCCGGGCUCAACCUGGGAACUGCGCUUGAAACUGUCGGUCUAGAGUUCGGGAGAGGGUAGUGGAAUUCCCAGUGUAGAGGUGAAAUUCGUAGAUAUUGGGAAGAACACCAGUGGCGAAGGCGGCUACCUGGACCGAGACUGACGCUAAGGUGCGAAAGCGUGGGGAGCAAACAGGAUUAGAUACCCUGGUAGUCCACGCCGUAAACGAUGCGUGCUAGAUGUCGGGCAGCUUGCUGUUCGGUGUCGCAGUCAACGCGCUAAGCACGCCGCCUGGGGAGCACGGCCGCAAGGUUA